UGAGCUUGAUCAUGGCUCAGAUUGAACGCUGGCGGCAGGCCUAACACAUGCAAGUCGAGCGGUAGAGAGAAGCUUGCUUCUCUUGAGAGCGGCGGACGGGUGAGUAAUGCCUAGGAAUCUGCCUGGUAGUGGGGGAUAACGUUCGGAAACGGACGCUAAUACCGCAUACGUCCUACGGGAGAAAGCAGGGGACCUUCGGGCCUUGCGCUAUCAGAUGAGCCUAGGUCGGAUUAGCUAGUUGGUGAGGUAAUGGCUCACCAAGGCGACGAUCCGUAACUGGUCUGAGAGGAUGAUCAGUCACACUGGAACUGAGACACGGUCCAGACUCCUACGGGAGGCAGCAGUGGGGAAUAUUGGACAAUGGGCGAAAGCCUGAUCCAGCCAUGCCGCGUGUGUGAAGAAGGUCUUCGGAUUGUAAAGCACUUUAAGUUGGGAGGAAGGGCAGUUACCUAAUACGUGAUUGUUUGACGUACCGACAG
rnacentral:rRNA from 1 species